AGCAGCCGCGGUAAUUCCAGCUCCAAUAGCGUAUAUUAAGGUUGUUGCAGUUAAAAAGCUCGUAGUUGAACUUCGGGGUUUACCCAUUGGUCAGGCUUAAUUGUCUGUACUGGUGAGAUAAAUCUCUACCUUCUGAGGAACUUUCAUGUCAUUAAUUUGGUGUGAUUGGAAAUCAGGACUGUUACUUUGAAAAAAUUAGAGUGUUUAAAGCAGGCUAACGUCUGAAUACAUUAGCAUGGAAUAAUGAAAUAGGACGGCUUGAUUCUAUUUCGUUGGUUUCUAGGAUCACCGUAAUGAUUAAUAGGGAUAGUUGGGGGCAUUAGUAUUCAAUUGUCAGAGGUGAAAUUCUUGGAUUUAUUGAAGACUAACUACUGCGAAAGCAUUUGCCAAGGAUGUUUUCAUUAAUCAAGAACGAAAGUUAGGGGAUCGAAGACGAUCAGAUACCGUCGUAGUCUUAACCAUAAACUAUGCCGACUAGGGAUCGGACGAAGUUAAUUUUAUAAUGACGCGUUCCGGCACC
rnacentral:rRNA from 1 species